UACGUAGGGUGCGAGCGUUGUCCGGAAUUAUUGGGCGUAAAGAGCUUGUAGGCGGUUUGUCGCGUCUGCCGUGAAAAUUCGAGGCUCAACCUCGAACUUGCGGUGGGUACGGGGAGACUAGAGUGUGGUAGGGGAGACUGGAAUUCCUGGUGUAGCGGUGAAAUGCGCAGAUAUCAGGAGGAACACCGAUGGCGAAGGCAGGUCUCUGGGCCACUACUGACGCUGAGAAGCGAAAGCAUGGGGAGCGAACAGG
rnacentral:rRNA from 1 species